rnacentral:lncRNA from 1 species
AAGAAAAUCAAAAGCUGUUGCUGUGUGUAUGGGGUGGUGGGGAGUCAAUUAAGUGGGAAUCUCUGAGAGCUGAAGCAAUAUGCACCCAGGACUGGGAAAUGCUUCCGACCAAGUGAACCUGUAUAAGCCCUGAUCUGGCUGCAUUUAUGGGAAAAGUUUGGGCUGGGCCCUGGGCUCUGUGUCCUGGCCCCUCAAGGAAAGUUGCUGCCUCCCAUUUCUGAAUCUCUCUUCUGAGCCUGUUUGCUCUCAAUUAGUGCCUUCUGCCCCUGGCCAGAGCCUUUGCACCUGGUUCCUGCCUUUUCUAAAUGAUACUAAGGAAGUGUGUGUGACCUGACACCAUAAGCUGACUUUGCACCUUAGUUCCACAUGUGCCAGCUCCAUCCCCUCCAGGUGUUUGUUCCUGGCUCCAGGGACCCUACCUGGAUAUUCUUACCUGGGCCCUGCUUGUCCAGUAAAAGACCUUGGAAAUGGAGAGACAGAGACAAGCUGAAGGGUUAGCAGAAACAGUUAGUUAUACAAGAGCAGAGGUGGAAGAUUGUAAAUGGCAAAUUGCCCAUUAUGACUGUUCCUGUUAAGCAGCCAUAGAGUAAUGUCUGUGUUCUGCAAGGCUGAACUCAAAUAAAAGCUUGUAGUAUGUUUAAUCCCA